GACGAACGCUGGCGGCGUGCUUAACACAUGCAAGUCGAACGGAAAGGCCCUGCUUUUGUGGGGUGCGCGAGUGGCGAACGGGGGAGUAAAACGUGAGUAACCUGUCCUUGACUUUGGGAUAACUUCUGGAAACUGGGGCUAAUACCGGAUAGGAGCUCCUGCUGCAUGGGGGGGGUUGGAAAGUUUCGGCGGUUGGGGAUGGACUCGCGGCUUAUCAGCUUGUUGGUGGGGUAGUGGCUUACCAAGGCUUUGACGGGUAGCCAGCCUGCGAGGGUGACCGGCCACAAUGGGACUGGGAUGCGGCCCAGACUCCUACGGGAGGCAGCGGUGGGGAAUAUUGCACAAUGGGCGGAAGCCUGAUGCAGCAACUCCGCGUGCUGGAUGACGGCCUUCGGGUUGUAACCCGCUUUCGCCUGUGACGAAGCGUGAGUGACGGUAAUGGGUAAAGAAGCAACGGCUAACUACGUG
rnacentral:rRNA from 1 species